rnacentral:rRNA from 1 species
AGCAGCCGCGGUAAUUCCAGCUCCAAUAGCGUAUAUUAAAGUUGUUGUGGUUAAAAAGCUCGUAGUUGAGCCUUGGGCCUGGCUGGCCGGUCCGCCUCACCGCGUGUACUGGUCCGGCCGGGCCUUUCCCUCUGUGGAACCCCAUGCCCUUCACUGGGUGUGGCGGGGAAACAGGACUUUUACUGUGAAAAAUUAGGGUGCUCCAGGCAGGCCUAUGCUCGAAUACAUUAGCAUGGAAUAAUAGAAUAGGACGUGUGGUUCUAUUUUGUUGGUUUCUAGGACCGCCGUAAUGAUUAAUAGGGACAGUCGGGGGCAUCAGUACUCAAUUGUCAGAGGUGAAAUUCUUGGAUUUAUUGAAGACUAACUACUGUGAAAGCAUUUGCCAAGGAUGUUUUCAUUAAUCAGGAACGAAAGUUAGGGGAUCGAAGACGAUCAGAUACCGUCGUAGUC